rnacentral:rRNA from 1 species
AGUGGAUGGGGAGCAACCUAGUUGUGCGUGUGUAAAGGUAGUGCCAAGAAAAGCGAUGAUCAUGUUGAAAAUCAAUUCCCGGUACCCGAAACCGACACAGGUGGGCAAGUAGAGAAUACUAAGGGGCGCGAGGUAACUCUCUCCAAGGAACUCGGCAAAAUGACCCCGUAACUUAGGGAGAAGGGGUGCCACCGAGAGGUGGUCGCAGUGAAGAGGCCAGGCGACUGUUUAGCAAAAACAUAGGUCUCUGCAAACUCGAAAGAGGAGGUAUAGGGGCUGACGCCUGCCCAGUGCCGGAAGGUUAAAGAAGUUGGUCAGUUUUAGGAUGAAGCUAGCGACUGAAGCCCCGGUGAACGGCGGCCGUAACUAUAACGGUCCUAAGGUAGCGAAAUUCCUUGUCGGGUAAGUUCCGACCCGCACGAAAGGCGUAACGAUCUGGGCGCUGUCUCGGAGAGAGGCUCGGCGAAAUAGGAUUGUCUGUGAAGAUACGGACUACCUGCAUUUGGACAGAAAGACCCUAUGAAGCUUUACUAUAGCUUGGAAUUGUGUUCGGGCUUCCUGUGCGCAGGAUAGGUGGGAGGCGUAGAAGGUAUUCUUGUGGGGAUACUGGAGCCAACGGUGAGAUACCACUCUCAGGAGGCUAGAAUUCUAACUUAAUUAAGGACAGUUUCAGGUGGGUAGUUUGACUGGGGCGGUCGCCUCCAAAAAGGUAACGGAGGCGUACAAAGGUUCCCUCAGACUGGUUGGAAAUCAGUCGAAGAGUGCAAAGGCAGAAGGGAGCUUGACUGCGAGAAGUGCAGUUCGAGCAGGGUGGAAACACGGUCUUAGUGAUCCGACGGUGCUGUGUGGAAGGGCCGUCGUUCAACGGAUAAAAGUUACUCUAAGGAUAACAGGCUGAUCUCCCCCAAGAGUUCACAUCGACGGGGAGGUUUGGCACCUCGAUGUCGGCUCAUCGCAACCUGGGGCGGAAGUACGUCCCAAGGGUUGGGCUGUUCGCCCAUUAAAGCGGUACGUGAGCUGGGUUCAGAACGUCGUGAGACAGUUCUCCAUAUCCGAUGUAGGCGUGAGAAUAUUGAGAGGAGCCUUCCUUAGUACGAGAGGACCGGGAAGGACGCACCGCUGGUGUACCUGUUAUGAUGCCAAUUGUAAACGCAGGGUAGCCAAGUGCGGAGAGGAUAACCGCUGAAAGCAUCUAAGUGGGAAGCCCACCUCAAGAUGAGUAUUCUGGUGUAAGGUCACGGGAAGACGACCCGUAAAUAGGCACGAGGUGGAAGUGCAGAGAUGUAUGAAGCCGAAGUGUACUAAUAGACCGUCGGCUUGAC